AGGAGCUGUCCUUAGUACGAGAGGACCGGGAUGGACGUACCGCUGGUGCAUCAGUUGUUCCGCCAGGAGCAUGGCUGAGUAGCUACGUACGGACGGGAUAAGCGCUGAAAGCAUCUAAGCGUGAAGCCCCCCUCAAGAUGAGAUUUCCCAGUAUGUAAGACCCCUUGAAGACGACGAGGUAGAUAGGUUGGAGGUGGAAGCACGGUAACGUGUGGAGCUGACCAAUACUAAUCGGUCGAGGGCUUAUCCAAA
rnacentral:rRNA from 1 species